rnacentral:rRNA from 1 species
CUGGCGGCAGGCCUAACACAUGCAAGUCGGACGGUAGCACAGAGAGCUUGCUCUCGGGUGACGAGUGGCGGACGGGUGAGUAAUGUCUGGGGAUCUGCCCGAUAGAGGGGGAUAACCACUGGAAACGGUGGCUAAUACCGCAUAACGUCGCAAGACCAAAGAGGGGGACCUUCGGGCCUCUCACUAUCGGAUGAACCCAGAUGGGAUUAGCUAGUAGGCGGGGUAAUGGCCCACCUAGGCGACGAUCCCUAGCUGGUCUGAGAGGAUGACCAGCCACACUGGAACUGAGACACGGUCCAGACUCCUACGGGAGGCAGCAGUGGGGAAUAUUGCACAAUGGGCGCAAGCCUGAUGCAGCCAUGC